UAGCUUGUCAAAUGACUGAAUUGUAUUGUAUUGAGCUAUACACUUUCAUUCUGCUCCCCAAAUACCAUGAAGGACAAGGUCUCUCUUUCAGGAAAAAAUAUUUAUAUUUGUGUAUAAUACUUUUUAAUAUAAGUUUGUUGUUAUUCUGAAGUUUAGAUGUUGCUUGAUAAAACUUUGCUACAGCAGAUCAUGAAUAUGAGCAAGGCUUUGUGUAAUAAAUAGUAGGGUCCUUAUGUGAAGUUACGACUGUUCAGUCCUGGUGAGCAAGCUCAGAGGUGUGGAGUGUGUAUUAGCUUUAUUUCGUACAGUUUUACUUUACAGCAGUGAAGUGCUUUAGAAUUCUGGUUAUCUUAUAGAAGUCAUUACCUCAACCCAUUGGCAUUUCUGUUCCCCAGUGUUUUACCUUAGCUGUAAUUUGAGCUGUAUGGGAUCAGAUAGCAAAAUGUUAUGUGGCACAAGGAGGUGUUUGGUUCCCAGUUUUCUGGAGAGAACUCUUAAGUCAGACCCAUAGCCUAACUACCUUCUGUCAUUAGGCAACUUUGAGCAGCUAGUGUGCUCUCUGCCUACCCCAGAUAAGCACAUGUUGCCAGACCUGGUUCUAAGCCUUUCUGAUCCUUUUACAUUUUAUUGCCCCAUGAUGGUGAAGUUUAGAUUUAUUUGGUUAUUUUUAUAAAACAAAUUGUCAGGUCAGUGUCAGAACCUGAAAUUAUUUUGAGCUGUCAAAGCAUGUGUAUGUAUGACAAGUAGUGUUACAUUAACAACUAUUACAUCCUAAUAGCUUUCCUUUUGAAGCAGACUUCUGAAUCUGUAAUCCUUUAUUUAACCAAAUGCUUGAGGUUGUUUUCACAUCUCCAUUCUUGUAUUUAUUCAGGUUGCUGUCACUGGUGGUAGAAUAUGACUAUAGGAUGCAUGGCCACUUGAUAUUCUGUUAGCAGAUUGAAAGUUACAGGUUAAAUUUUGGCCUUCAGAAAGAUGGAAGAUCGUUUUUCUCGUUCCCUUUCCAUUAGAAUUAAAUUUUCAUUAAUAUGCUGGUCAGUCCAGUAUUAUUCAGACCUUGAUGGCUUUAGCCAAAUAAUCCAUUUAGGAGACUAUUGAACUAUAUAAAUUUUUUGGUUGGUUGGUUUUUGUUUUUUACUACUAAAAAAAUACAUAUGUAUACACACAUAUAUGUAUGUAUACAUAUACAUACAUACUUGUGGUAUAAGGCAUACAGACCUCCAUACUCUUUAUUUUGGAAUAAUUCUGUUCUUGAGACUUGAUUUAUAAACACAAUGACGGGAGAUAGAGGAAAUGAUCUCCAUACCAUCUUGUUCACUCUAGUCUUUACACUCAGCUUUUAAAGAAGCAAACGUUAGCCCUGGGAUAGUAACACUGUGGCUGUGUUUUGUGUUGCAAAGGAUUUUGGAGCAGGGGAUGGAACCUAGGUUGGAUAGGUGUGAACUUUAGAGAAAAGGAUAAAGAUCAACUGGCCCCAGUGUAUUAAAUAAACUAAGAGUGGGCUCAAGACACUGUAUGAAAACUUGAUCAUGUGCAUUUGACAGGAAAAUAUUUACAUUUUUUUGAAAAUGAGAAUUAAAUCUAAUGUUUAUUUGGCAGACAGUAAGCAAGAGUUAAUUUUACAAUUAUUUGGGAGGUAAUUUUAAGAUUUCCAGUUCAUUUAGAGCUGUAUCUAUAAAAAAGCAUGAAAAGCAAGCACUUUUAGUAAACCAUAGAUUUAUUGGAUGUAGCAAAUAUUCCUAAUAUUUAUCCUUUAUUGUUUGAAUGUGAAAAUGAACUCUUUACUCCUUGAACUGUCAUUGAACAGGCUCAGGAUAUUUUCAACACUGGAAAUGACCCUACACACAUACCAAAUAAAUAAUCUAAAGCAGUGAGACAUUUGAAGAUUCAUACCUCUUAACCUUAGAUUUGUCUUGAAAACCAGUUUGUGCACCUAUAACCAGUAUUAGUGCAGUCUUGGGCUCCUUGUUCUGCAUAAUUGCACCCUUUCUCAGGUAUGUCCUGAAAACAAGAUUUUAAAUCUCUGUGGAGAUUAGAUUCUCAGUGGAUAGUGUGAAGGGGGGUUGGGGGGGGUGGGAGUAGUUGGACACAGGAUACUGACACAGUAGAGCAGGGAUUUUUAACAUUCAGUAGCCAAAUAGAGUUUCAGUCUAGAAUAUUUUUACCCCCACAGAAUAAACAAAAUGGUUCCUAUUUGAUAAACAACCAGCGCUACACUCCUGAGUCUGUCUGACUUUCCUGCAUAAUGGAAGGGUAUAUAUAUAUAUAUAUAUAUAUAUAUAUAUAUAGCAAACCUCACUGUUGUUGGGAAAGCACUCCCCCAAACUUUUAAAGUUCUAGAAAAGGGAUAAGUCAGCACUUUUCUGUUAAAACACUAAAGUCUUAAUUUACCUUCAGAGUCUUAGGUACUGUAAGUUUUAGGAUGAUUAUUUUAAAAACCAUAACUACAUGAUAUGGGGUCAAAUCACAUUUAUAUAAAUCCUUAUUUUAACAAAGGACAAUAGCAUUUUGUAUCUUUCUAGUACUUCUAAGUAAUUGCCUCACUUUCCCCAGUUCAGUUUAGCACUUCUGGCUUAGGAAUUUGAGAAUCUGAGAGGAAGCAGAGGAAUUCCCUAAACACAUUAUCAGACCAUUUUGAUAUGUAAAUCACUAAGGAAUGGGUAGAGACUCUCUCCCUUUUAAGUCUUCAGGGAAUGAGCAGUAUUUAGAAUCUUUGGCUGAAAUUCAAGCCUUUUUACUGUGUAAAUUUUUAAUACUAAUUCACUGACAUGCUUUUUACAUCAGAGGACUGAUACGGAUCUUAAUGGGUUUAAGUUGUGGAAGGGUAUAUUUCUAAAACUAAGGGGGGGUGUUGAUUAACUAGGUUAGUAUUACCAGCAUUAGUGAGUUUAAGAAAUCUUAGUAUGUAAUAGCGAAGUGUUUGAUUAAAAGUCUAAUCCUAUAUUGAUAGUCAAAAUUAGUACAUUCUGAUCUAGGAAAGAUAGUCAUUGGAUAUUGAUAUGCUGUGCUGUCAGG
rnacentral:lncRNA from 1 species